UACGUAGGGUGCAAGCGUUAAUCGGAAUUACUGGGCGUAAAGCGUGCGCAGGCGGUUAUGCAAGACAGAUGUGAAAUCCCCCGGGCUCAACCUGGGAACUGCCAUUUGUGACUGCAUGGCUAGAGUACGGUAGAGGGGGAUGGAAUUCCGCGUGUAGCAGUGAAAUGCGUAGAUAUGCGGAGGAACACCGAUGGCGAAGGCAAUCCCCUGGACCUGUACUGACGCUCAUGCACGAAAGCGUGGGGAGCAAACAGG
rnacentral:rRNA from 1 species